rnacentral:lncRNA from 7 species
AGGGGAGUUGGACUUCAGUGAGCUUCAAGGGUCCUUUCCAAUGCAAAUGAUUUCAUGAUGUUUAUGUGUGUGAAGACUUACCUCUCUAGACCUCUAAUAUACAACCACGCAGUGGGGUUCAGGAAAUCAGAAACUUUAAUUUCUGGCAUUACCAUUGCAGAUGUGUGAUUGUGAGGGACCAGGACCCCGAACUCUCCAGCUUCAAGCGCACAGACCUUCACCCUACAGAGGCUGUAUGGAAGCAGGAGGCCCCGUGGACCCAUGGCCAUCACUGUAUGCUGAGUCACCAGAGGAGUGGCUUCAAUCCAACAGGCACGCACUGUGAAUACAAACUGCCAAACAGAAGUUUGAACUCCGUUUAAAAGAAAGCUCAGGGGGAACAUGAGAGGUGUCAGCUUCCGUAGCCGGCUGGAUGAAACUUUGGCCAUGUAAUACAGCUCUUGCUUUGCACUUCGUCACCCACAGCCCAGGCACCGUGUGAUUCCUGUUUCACCUCCUUCUCACUUAUGCUCCUCUCUGAAUCCCUUGAUAAAAGACAACAGAUCUUUCAAGAGCCCAUUACUUCUUUAGCAUGAUUUCAUUUGCGCAGCCUUGGGGCUGCUGUGAGUGGCCAUGGUGAUGCUCACUGGGAAGGAGGAGUGAAGGGGUUGGUCUCCUGGGGUGCUCUGUGUCACUGUGCCUCUGUCCUCCAAACAAAAACAGAAUGAAGAGAUGGCAGAAAACUGGCCUAAUUAACACAACUCUGUACAGCUCAUCAGGGUGCUCAGAUGUAAGGAACAGGAAUGGGGAAUAAGACAUGGCUUUUCGAAAGGAUUUAGUUCAGCCUGAAAAGGUUUACAGGCAUAUCUAGCAAAUCUCCGGGUAAUUAGGGCUGUUUCUGGCAUACUAAAGCAAAUUGUUUUAAUCUUUUCCCCCUUAAAAUCAUAUUAUCUGGAAUUCCCUCUUUGAUAGCAGAAGGAUGAGGCUCAGAAGCAUAAACUCCUUAGUGC